rnacentral:rRNA from 1 species
GUGGGGAAUAUUGCACAAUGGGCGAAAGCCUGAUGCAGCAACGCCGCGUGAGCGAUGAAGGCCUUUGGGUCGUAAAGCUCUGUCCUUGGGGAAGAAAACAAUGACGGUACCCUUGGAGGAAGCCCCGGCUAACUACGUGCCAGCAGCCGCGGUAAUACGUAGGGGGCAAGCGUUAUCCGGAAUUAUUGGGCGUAAAGAGUGCGUAGGUGGUCUUGUAAGCGCGGGGUGAAAGGCUAUGGCUUAACCAUGGUAAGCCUUGCGAACUGUGAGACUUGAGUGCAGGAGAGGAAAGCGGAAUUCCUAGUGUAGCGGUGAAAUGCGUAGAUAUUAGGAGGAACACCAGUGGCGAAGGCGGCUUUCUGGACUGUAACUGACACUGAGGCACGAAAGCGUGGGGAGCAAACAGGAUUAGAUACCCUGGUAGUCC